UUAACCAAUGAACAUUAAGGUGAUUCUGCACAUUAGGAUAAUUUUUUAACGAGAUAGACUUUGAGUAAACCCCGAUACGGUCGUGUGCUUGAGUUUUAGCUAGACUGAUCUGAAAUAAAAACAAAACAGAAACCUCACGCAAUUUUUCAUAAUUGGAGCCUAUUUGAAAAUUACAAGGUUGAUAACAUUUUCCGAAUAGAUUACAUUUUUUUAAAUUACAAAAAUUGUAAUAUUGUUGUUGUAAUAAACUCACACACUUGCUGCCAUAAAUUCAUGAAAUUAUUUAAUGAUUUUCAUUUCCGUACGCCGAAUCCAGGCUUAGUUCUACGUUUUUCGGACAUAAAACUUAUGGUUUUUCAAAAGUGCAGAACUACCAAAAGGGUCGACCAGUUUAAAUUAAAAUGAUGGAAAGCAAAAGAACAUUUAAUUCAUAACUGCUGAUUUUUCAUUGCUGCAUAUUGUGACCUUAUACCUGCUUUCCAUUGUGAAACUUAAGACAGUUAAUUUAACGUUUCAUCUGCAACAAUUAAGUGAAAAUACUGAUUUCAAGGCGAGCAGUAAUACAGAUACUGUGCCGAUACCACUUUACAAAUACCAUUUUUAGCUCACAUGAAAAUUGUUCGUAUUAAGUCAUGCGGAUAUUCCAGCGUCUCUCAUCAUUUUUACUGAAAUAUCUUUUUCUCUUCUCUGAAUGUAAAAGAAUUACACCAAAUUUUGAUUGUGGCGUACUGGUGUGAAAUGUGUACAGUAUAUAAAUACCGUUUAAAAAUUCCUUCUGAUCAACCACUCGAUUAAGUUUACUCAAACUUGGUUUGAAGCAUUAUAGUAAGGCUUUUUAUGCAACCUAUUACCUGUAUUAUAAGAACUUGGCCUUGUUAGGAGAUGCAAGAUGUAAAACAUAGAAUACUAUACAGAACGUCUUUUCAUGAACUCCUUAAAGGGUCGCCAUCAAACUUGGUCUGUUGCAUUACUAUUUUAUUAGCACCCAAAAGAGUAAAAUAGAAACUAUUUUUAACAAUUGUCUCUUUUUGUUAGAUUUUAAAUCAUGAGCAAUUUCUCCUCAGAAUUAUACCAGUGUCGGUCCCGUGUGUGAAGGGUUACAUAUUUAUAGGGGACGUUCGAUUUUACUAAGUCUUAAAACAUUUGGGUAAAUUUCAAAGUAGUCAAAUUUAUAUCUUCAUUGCGUACAAAAGACCAGUCAGUGUUACGUAUGGAUUCAUUUAAAGACUCGUAAUUAACAUUAUUAUAAUUCCAGACACGCCUUUUGUAAGAUGCGUUGGUAUCGCCAAUCGCUUUAAGAUAUACGUAGCUGCCAAAAAGAUCACUAAUAUGGUUGUCGGUUUUGAGCGAAGAUAUGAUAUGUUUCUUUGUUUCCGAUGGGGGUCAAGAAGCGUUCUUGAAUCGAUUUACAGACAACUUUACGGGACUACGUACUAAGGACACUAUCAAGAAAGAUGGUAGACAUCCUCGGAAUUGUUAUAGCGGUUUUAGGUUCCAUUCUUGGAGCCGUUGUGGCAUCUCGGGAAGAAAGACAUUACAAAGCAUAUGUAGUAAAUAAAAUCCGUACAGAGAUCUUUUGGAAGCAAAUAAUGCAACCAAGAGAAAUAAUAGCAGACUCGGUUUGAUCAAGUGAGCGGCUCAUUGAAAGUCACAAAUGUAUAAUACAUGACUUACCAGACACGCAUAUAAACGUACAUUGUAUGCUAUAUCACAUAUUCUUAAUAGAGGCAUAUGUUGUCUUAAUCAUGAAUUCACGUCUAACGGCUUUGGUUUGAUUUUAACUUUACAUCAUUAUCUCAGCUAUUUUGUUAGUUCUAUGUAAACAAGAGAUUGUUAAAACAAUUUUCUAAUACAGGUUUAAUUGUGUGUUAUCACGAACUCAAGAUCAACACAUAAUCGUUAUUUCAUAUGUUUUCUGACAGACAGAAAUCGAUAAAUGGAUAUUUGUUCACAAUACAUAAUGAUAACAGCCACAUAGAAAAUGGUAAUAAGCUUUACAGCCAAAACCAAAACUUUGACCCACUUACAAUUAGAAAAAUCUUAAAAAUGUGAAUGUUAAAUAACACUUCUUAACUUGUAUUAUUCAAACGUCCAACAUUUCCUGGUUGUCUCUGAAAAAUUUCUACCACAAAAUUGAUAGCGUUUAAACAAUAUCGAAUGUUGAUACAUAUGUGCAUUUACUCAUGUUAUGGAGGGUAGAUUUAUGUGACCAUCUAUAUUUUUGGACAUUAAGAAAUUAUACAAUAACGCAGUUACUUAUUCAAAAGAAACACUUUAAUGCAACAUAAUUGAAAAACACGUCCGACACACAAUCCAACCAAUAUGACAUUUUCUACCGUCCAUACCGAGAGAGAAUAAAAGUAUAUGACUGACAAUUUUAAGCUGUAUUUUUAAAACCAAAAUUUGAAUAUUUACACUCGUUAUAAUUAUUAAAUUUAGCGUCGUGUAGAAGAAAAUUGGCAACCCUCUGUCAAUUUAGAAUGUGCUUAACACCACACAAAAACUUGCGAAUGUGCUACGUAUAUCACAGUGCUGGAAUAGCGAUUCUAAAAGCAUACAACUCCGUUACAACGAAAUGAAAAAAAUAAGUCUAAAGAAUAUAUUGUUGUUGUUUUUCUACCAUGGGAACAUGGUUUUAGAACUUUAUCAAAUGUUUCAAAGAAUUGAUUAAAACACAACGCAAUAAGAUGACAUAUUACAGUUCGGGCAGUGCUUAAGUAUUAGAAACCUGUCACCUAACAUAAAUUCAAAAACAAUACAUUUCAUUAAAGAGACAGGCUCAUUAGAAACAGUUCAAAUGAUAAAGCCCUCUCAUGAUGCAGGCUUUCUAUCCAUCUACGAUCUCCGUCAAAGUACAUCGAACAUUUCUUGAUGUUCCUGUCUUUUCUAAAUAAUCAGCUGUUUUGUAUCAGUCUGAUUUCUUUUAUUCUUUUUACAUCUUGGACGAAUUGGACUUAGCAUUUGUUACUAUAUUUCCAAGAUUCAGGAAGAAAAUUAAUCAGAACUUUAUCAGGAGCCAUGUCUUAAAUUACGCAGCCAUCCAGAUGUCUCUCUUCGCACACAAAUUUCUGUGAUUUGUCAGCAACAGUUGAAUUUGCAUUUUUCGAUUACUUUUCUGAUAUUAUUGUGUUUUUCAACCACUUUCUGAACAAUUCCAACUCAAUCAAUAAUGUUAAUAAACGUUUCCAUACUAACUAUUUUCUGUCUUUUAUUCUGUCACAACGAUGUUUUGGACGUUCAACAUACAACAGUUUCUACUGGAUAAUAAAUUCUGUAAAGAUUUUUUGAAAGCAAAGAAUGCAGUCAAAUAAAGUAAUAGCAGACUCGGUUUGAUUAAGUCCGUUCAAAUCAUUGUAAGUCAUAUGUGCCACUACAUCUUCUUUGAACAUGGAAGAAAAAUAGUCAAAAUUGUCAAAAAAGGAAAUUCAGAGAAACCUAAUUACAAUAAAGCAAGUCUAAGAAUACCUUAUUUCAACUACAUAAAUAACAAAAUUUCUAUGUAACCUCCGUAACAAAAUAUCUUCUCGCUAACCCUAACCCUAACCCUAGGGUCGCCGAAGUCACAUUUUUAAAAAAAAAUUAGUAAGAUUUUAAAUAUUACAUAAUGACGGGAACAUUACUGAAACCAGAUCAUAUUGGGUGCAGUGACUAAACAAGGACAAGUUCAAUGCAGUCGGACAAACUAUCUCACCUCCAUAACGGUAAUGUGGGAUAAUUCAAGCUCUAUAUCACUUUUCCUCAGAUAAAAUACUCAGAAAAAAUAUAUAUUUCUUGAAUCUGAGUCCGUUUUGACAUAUCUCUUUGGCCAAAUAUUCAUGUAUGAAAUUUGAAUGUUGCACUGGAAUGUAUGAACACGUUAUCGCCUCCGUAACGGACAUGUUUAAAGAGACAUAAUUAUUUCAGCGCUAUAUUUUAUGUAUAGUUUUACGUUCAAACCAAAAAAAGCAGAGAAUGCAAGGAAAUUUCUAAAGUGGGUCAAAUGUUUGGUUUUGACUGUUUAUAAUUGAUACUAGAGCCUGCAAAAACUGUUGUCUUGUUGAUGCACGUCUUAUUGUAAUUGUUUUAUUCUACUUCAACAUUUUUUAAUUUCCUUUGUUGAUAAUAUGAAGUAUUUCACAUGGGAAUAAAAAUUGUUUGAAUUUGAUAUAUGUAUCCAACUUUUCGGACUGACACUGGUGCGUUCUCGUCAAACAAUGGAGGCAUGAUAAUAAUACUUCAAUUGUUUACCUUAUUUGUGAUAUGGCUUUUGUAUAUCCAUUUCAUAUGUUUUCAUAGAAUAAAUAAAGUAGACAGAAAUUACA